AUGCAGCUAGGAGUCAAUUUGUGGAAAGGAUAUUAACAAUCAUUUGUGUGUGUCAUGAUGAAAACUAAGAAGAAAGAAGGUGGAAUAAUGGAAUAAAUCAGCAAUGUCAUUGUUUGGAAUCUUGAAAAGAAGAGUGUUUCUCUGUUGGUGUAGAAUCCUUUCGUUUGAGGUAACCUGCUGUUGAGCCUCAUUGAGAUUCUAGAUAUUUGGCCAUAACAUGGACCAGUGAUUGGCUCCAGCCUCUGCCCUACUCCAGAUGCGGUGAGGUCAAGCCAGCAGGAAGAAAUCUCGUUCAUAGAAGAGAUCGUGUGUGUGAUUUGGUUAUUUUAGCCUUCGUGUCUCCUGCAUUAGCAGAGGGAGCAGCUACAAGACUGUGCGUGGUGCAGAGACUCUCGCUCUCACUGCCUCAACCGCAGACUGCUCUCCAGGAAUGCGACAUGCAUGUCUGCCUCCUCACUCGGCUUCCUGCUUUGCUCCUGGAGGUCCAGAGGCUCUGGAAUAACCACUCACCUGCCCUUCCCAUGGCUGUAAACGAGGCUCUGGGAUGUGACCAUUACUUUGUAAAAGUGCACUCUGAAACCUGCAGCUACAGACAGCCCCUCUAUACAUCUUCCAGCUCUCCUGUCUGACAUUCACUAUUUUUGGCUGUCUGUUCCCAUGUAUUAUUGAUUUUUCCAGAUGCUACCACUUUUCAUAAAAAUGAACACAUGCAUUUGUUUUUAAAAUUCUUUUUGGGUAAUCACAACAGAAAAAUAGGUACAUAAUGUCCUACCUUUUCUCUUAUAAAUUAGAAGUCAAAAAUGAGAAUUAGAGGCAGGCAUUAUGGCUCAGCAGGUCGAGUUGCCAUUUGGGAUAGCUGCAUCCCAUAUUAUAGUGCCUGUGACCAAGUUCUGCCUCCAGCUCUGCUUCUGAUCCAGCUUCCUGCUAAUGCCCCUGGGAGGCAGCAGAUGCUGGCUCAUGUGGGAGACACGGAGGGAGUUCUGAGUCCUAGCUUUGGUUGGGCUAGCCCAGCUGUUGUGCCACGUGGGGAGUGAUUCAGAGGACUGAAGAUUCUCUCUCUCUCUUUCUCUCUGCUCCUUUUCACUCUUGUUUUGCCUUUCAAACAAGUACAAAUGAAUAAACUUUUUUAAAAUGAGGAUUAAACGAAUGAAUAAGAUGUAAUGUUCUGUAUUAAGAAUAAGUAAGGAUUAAUUAGAUAUUGCAUCCUUUCUCAGUACUCACAAGUUACUAGUAAGUCUAAGAGCUGCAAGUAUGAAUUAACAAUGAACCCAGUAAUAGGCAGCAUAUGAGUGCUAUCUGAAGAGACAAUAAAAAUAUGAGAAGUUGGACAAGGGAAGAGUCCCUGGGGCUGCCGUGGGCAUGCCUGGAAGAGACUCUCCAUUUCCUGAUUCUCUCCCCUUAAGCAAGUGGCCAGAAGCCAGAACAAACUGAUCUCUUUCCCACCUGUGCUCCCUACUCUUCCAUCCAAGGCAUCUGGUGCAGAGGGUGUGAGAGGAUCCCCGUUGAGGGAAAAGGGGAAGCCACAUAUUGUCUGAAGGGUUUCUCAAACAAGGCCUGGUCCCAAGAGCCACCAGGAAGACAAUGACAACUGAUACAGUCUCCAGACGAGAGCUGGCCUCAGUAGUAUCUGGUUAGGACAAUCAGGCAAUUUCGGACAUCCCCAGGGUAGUGGACAGAGCAUGGUGCUGGCAAGCAGGAGUCUUGUGUUUCGUUUCUGGAUUUUCCACUAAAUAGGUGUAGGAUUUGGAUGAGUUUCAAUGUUGCUGAGCCCCAAUCUUCUUGUCUGUAAGAGGAAGGAGUUACGCUGGAUGAUGUCUAAAAUCACUUCCAACUUUAAUAUUCCAUGGUUCUCUCAAAUAUGUAGAGUUUCAUAAACAUUGAACUCCCUCUGUAAGAGGGAAAGGGGAAAAAAGAGGAUGAGGGACAGGGGACUAAGGAAAAGAGACAUGCAGAUGAUUGAUUCUUUUUUAGACAAAAACUUGGGGUGAAUCCAUUUCUCCUGCUAUGUCUGGGAAAAGACUUCCAGGAGCAGAGUCUACAGUGGCCAGAGCUCAGUAAGACUUCAUUUUCUACAGAAGGCUUGGAUCUCUUGGCUGGCUCAGCAGCAGAAGAUGCACCCACGUUAGACAUGAUUCAUGUUUAUUCUGUGGUGAGCUAUGCAUUCUCAGACUGUGUAAUUUCUCAGAAGAAAUUGGAAAGCACAUCGUGUAUUUUUACAUCACCGUGAGCACGUGGCAACACUGGCUUCUACCUAAAUGAAAGUUUUCCCUCUUGCUUUUUAGUAAGAGGACCAUUUUCUCACUUUAGUAGUUUGAUUGACAGGUCCCUACUAAGGAGGGAAAAUGAAUUUCAAAGACAGACCUAAGAAAAACAAGUUUUUUCUCUGCUCUCUCUGGACAUUUGCUGCUCCAGGUGUUACAAGAAAAACAAAUUUCUGCACUGGUCUAGUCCUUAAUGACAGUGUUAUUAAGAUCUCCGAGCUCAUCUGCCAUUGCUCCUCCUGAGAAGCCGGGAGCACUGCUCCCUACUGACUCAGGCCUACAGAGGGAUCACGAUUCGCUUUGUUGGCAGGACCUGAAUGCCCUUUUAUGUUGUUUGUAGGAACAUCGGGGUACCCAUGAAAGUGGGGAGGGCAGGGGAACAAGGCCAGGCUCUGGUGGCAGCUGAUUGCCUUUGGUGUUUAGUCACAAAGCCUCUGGGUUGGUAGAUCUGGGAUGUGGGUACCACUCCCCCUUCUCCUCCAGUCUGCUCGUCAUGCACUGCUGACAUUCAGCACCAUGUUUGGAAAGUGCAUGAUUAUGAUGCGGCUGCUAAUUGGUUGGCUCUACCACAUCUGCCUUUGAAGUGUAGCGGACUUGCAAUUUUCAAUGGCUGUGGGGACAGGCAGAGCAUGUUCAAGUGGAAGUCACAGAAAAACAAAACAACUUGAAACCAAUUGCUUCCAAAAUUUUCCCUCCUCAAGCGUGGAUGAACCCUAAA